UACGGAGGGUGCGAGCGUUGUUCGGAAUCACUGGGCGUAAAGCGCGUGUAGGCGGCCCACUAAGUCUGAUGUGAAAGCCCGGGGCUCACCCCCGGAAGUGCAUUGGAAACUGGUGGACUCGAGUCCCGGAGAGGAGAGUGGAAUUCCUGGCGUAGCGGUGAAAUGCGUAGAUAUCAGGAGGAACACCGGUGGCGAAGGCGGCUCUCUGGACGGUGACUGACGCUGAGACGCGAAAGCGUGGGGAGCAAACAGG
rnacentral:rRNA from 1 species